rnacentral:sRNA from 1 species
UAGUUCUAACAGUGUUGGGUUCCGCU